GGACGGGAUUUUACCAUGUUUGCCCAGGCUGGUUUCAAACUCAUGAGCUCAAGGUUACAGGCGUGAGCCACUGUGCCCAGCCUGCUCUGCAAUGUGGAUCCACAUGUGAGUCUUCCCUGAGAACAACUGGUAGCCAGUGGUAUUUAGCCUUCUUGAUCUCGAUUCAAGAUUGAUGAAAAUAAUGAAAAUUGUGACUCUAUGCAGAUUGUACCCACUGGGUACCUAGUAUAAGACAUUUUAACACUCAAGUACCCUGUCCAAGAGAAAGCACCGCUCAAGAGUUUUUGAAAGCAGGAAUGAAACAGGAACAGUUCUUCGUGGUGCUGAUAAUACCAUAAACUGUUUCUGAGGCUCCAGGUGCUUUGCCCGCUGGUGUUAGCCCUGUGUUUAUUGUUUUUAGAGCUGGAACCUAUUGCCUCAGGGCUGAGUGACCGUGAAUUUUCAUAUCGAGGAUAAGAUACCAACUUCCAACAGAACACUGGUGGAAAGUUUGUCUUUUUUCUAACAUUGGACGAUUUCCUUCUCAGGGAGAAAGGAAUCAAUGAUGUAUUAUUUGGCAUAUUUUAAAAUUACCUCCAGGGGCUGCAAUGGAGCGUGAACAGCUACUUUCCAAAGAGUAGAUUAGGAAUCCAUUGAGCACCGGUGCCAAGCCCAGUCAUGCCUCCAACUCUUCAGUGUGAUGUGCUUAUUGACUUAGCAUCUGACAGAGCUGAAAGAGCCUUCAGUGAGUCAUUCUGCACGAUCUCCGUGUCCCUGUUCAACCCAAAUAUCUGGCACUCUCCGACAGAGCCAACCUCUUGCUGCCCUGCUCAACAACUCACAACCGGAAGCAGCUCCUCAUCUGUUCAAGUUUCAUCACGUGGUUGCAGCAGUUCAGUCACAUCUUCAGGCUCCACUUCCAAUUCUAGCUCUCUUGCUAUUUCCACCACACCUGCAGUUCCUUCCUCCACUGAAAACUUAAACUCCUUCAAGUCGUUCUUGAGAGUUGGAGUAAAUUUCUUCCAGAGUCCUACUAAGAGGCUGAGCAAUCCCAAGCUCUGCAGUUCCAAGGCUGAGAAGCAGGAGAGCCAAUGGUGCAAGUUUCACUCCAAGUUCCACGUCAGGAAAUCAGUGUUCCAGCUCCAAGGCCAUCAGGUAGAUGGAGAGAGUAAAUUCCCUCUUACUCAGCCUUUUGAAAAUUUAGGCCUUCGAUUGAUGGGAUGA
ensembl:lncRNA